rnacentral:rRNA from 1 species
CCUACGGGGGGCAGCAGUGAGGAAUAUUGGUCAAUGGGCGGAAGCCUGAACCAGCCAAGUCGCGUGCAGGAAGACGGCACUACGGGUUGUAAACUGCUUUUAUCCGGGAACAACGCGCCUUACGUGUAGGGCUUUGCAUGUACCGUAUGAAUAAGGACCGGCUAAUUCCGGGCCAGCAGCCGCGGUAAUACGGAAGGUCGGGGCGUUAUCCGGAUUUUUUGGGUUUAAAGGGUGGGUAGGCCGCAUGGCCAGCGUGCUGUGAAAAGUCCGGGGUCAACCCGGGCCUUGCAGUGCAAACUGGCGUGCUUGAGUGCGCGGCAAGCAGGCGGAAUUCGUGGUGUAGCGGUGAAAUGCUUAGAUAUGACGAAGAACCCCGAUUGCGAAGGCAGCUUGCUGCAGCGGAACUGACGCUGAUGCUCGAAAGCGCGGGUAUCGAACAGGAUUAGAUACCCGGGUAGUC